rnacentral:rRNA from 1 species
AGAGUUUGAUCCUGGCUCAGAACGAACGCUGGCGGCGUGGCUAAGGCAUGCAAGUCGAGCGGACCUAGUUUGAGGGCAACUGAAGGCUAGGUUAGCGGCGGACGGGUGAGGAAUACAUGGAUAACGUACCCCAGACACAGGGAUAGCGGCGGGCCCGCAAGGGUCCUUUGCGAAAGUGCCGGUAAUACCUGAUGACCCCGCAGGGUCGCAUGAUCCCGCGGGCAAAGCUCCGACGGUCUGGGAUCGGUUCAUGCCCUAUCAGCUAGUUGGCGGGGUAACGGCCCACCAAGGCGGCGACGGGUACCGGGUGUGAGAGCAUGAUCCGGCACAUCGGAACUGAGACACGGUCCGGACACCUACGGGUGGCUGCAGCAACGAAUAUUCCGCAAUGGGCGCAAGCCUGACGGAGCGACGCCGCGUGCAGGAAGAAGUCCCUCAGGAUGUAAACUGCUGUCUGGGGACGAGGAAGCAAGUGACCAGUCCCCGAGUAAGCCACGGCUAACUCCGUGCCAGCAGCCGCGGUAAU